CCUAACACAUGCAAGUCGAACGGUAACAUUUCUAGCUUGCUAGAAGAUGACGAGUGGCGGACGGGUGAGUAAUGCUUGGGAACUUGCCUUUGCGAGGGGGAUAACAGUUGGAAACGACUGCUAAUACCGCAUAAUGUCUACGGACCAAACGGGGCUUAGGCUCCGGCGCAAAGAGAGGCCCAAGUGAGAUUAGCUAGUUGGUAAGGUAACGGCUUACCAAGGCGACGAUCUCUAGCUGUUCUGAGAGGAAGAUCAGCCACACUGGGACUGAGACACGGCCCAGACUCCUACGGGAGGCAGCAGUGGGGAAUAUUGCACAAUGGGGGAAACCCUGAUGCAGCCAUGCCGCGCGUGUGAAGAAGGCCUUCGGGUUGUAAAGCACUUUCAGUUGUGAGGAAAAGUUAGUAGUUAAUACCUGCUAGCCGUGACGUUAACAACAGAAGAAGCACCGGCUAACUCCGUGCCAGCAGCCGCGGUAAUACGGAGGGUGCGAGCGUUAAUCGGAAUUACUGGGCGUAAAGCGCACGCAGGCGGUUUGUUAAGCUAGAUGUGAAAGCCCCGGGCUCAACCUGGGAUGGUCAUUUAGAACUGGCAGACUAGAGUCUUGGAGAGGGGAGUGGAAUUCCAGGUGUA
rnacentral:rRNA from 1 species